rnacentral:rRNA from 1 species
UACAGAGGUCCCGAGCGUUGUUCGGAUUCAUUGGGCGUAAAGGGUGCGUAGGCGGCUUCCUAAGUUUUGAUGUGAAAUCCUGGGGCUCAACCCUGGAACUGCAUUGAAUACUGGGAGGCUAGAGUACUGGAGAGGAAACUGGAAUUUACGGUGUAGCAGUGAAAUGCGUAGAGAUCGUAAGGAAGACCAGUGGCGAAGGCGAGUUUCUGGACAGUUACUGACGCUGAGGCACGAAGGCCAGGGGAGCAAACGGG